UUCGAUUUUUAAGGUCUGAAAAUGUCUUGAAUCCUGGAAUUUUCCAUAUGAAUGUCUUAAAUUUCAUGUGGGAUCUUAAAUUUCAUGUCCGACUCGUCAUUUUUAUUUAUUUUUUCAACCGCAAUUUGACCAGCGUAACAUUUGGGGGCAGCACUUCGUGGGUGCAACCUGCAUCAUUCCAUAGGUGACAUACGAGUAAGUGAUUGAUGAACGCCUUGCGAUGGUUCGCCACCACGGCAGUUUGCGAAAUCGCAAGCAUGGGCAAAGACGAUAAAGCUGUGGACAAGACCACGAUUGUCAGGUCUCGCUAUCUUGGUUCUCAGUUUUUGAGCCCCUCAACGGCAGAAGACUUGCUGUAGCACUUUAAGGAGGGCACCAAGGAACUUAAUUUAAGGAACAUGCUUUCUGUGUCAAUGGAUGUAUCCACAGUAAAUUGGAAAGUCAUGGAUCUCCUACAACUGGAACAUGCAAUAAAUUUCUGAUCCUGAUCUUUCCUACAA